GACACUUUGGCCGAGUGGUUAAGGCGAUGCCCUGCUAUUAAGCUGAGUAGGCAUUGGGGUUUCCCCGCGUGUGUUCGAAUCGCACAGGUGUCG